GACGAACGCUGGCGGCGUGCUUAACACAUGCAAGUCGAACGGAAAGGCCCUGCUUUUGUUGGGUGCUCGAGUGGCGAACGGGUGAGUAACACGUGAGUAACCUGCCCUUGACUUUGGGAUAACUUCAGGAAACUGGGGCUAAUACCGGAUAGGAGCUCCUGCUGCAUGGUGGGGGUUGGAAAGUUUCGGCCGUUGGGGAUGGACUCGCGGCUUAUCAGCUUGUUGGUGGGGUAGUGGCUUACCAAGGCUUUGACGGGUAGCCGGCCUGAGAGGGUGACCGGCCACAUUGGGACUGAGAUACGGCCCAGACUCCUACGGGAGGCAGCAGUGGGGAAUAUUGCAGAACGGGCGGAAGCCUGAUGCAGCAACGCUGCGUGCGGGAUGACGGGCUUCGGGUGGUAAACCGAUUUGGCCGGUGACGAAGAGUGAGUGACGGUAAUGGGUAAAGAAGCACCGGCUAACUACGUG
rnacentral:rRNA from 1 species